UCAUAGGUCCUCUCCGGCCUCACAGCCGGC
rnacentral:sRNA from 1 species